rnacentral:rRNA from 1 species
UACACGUUGCUAAUCUACCCUUAGAUCAGGAAUAACCUCGGGAAACUGAGGAUAAAACCUGGUAGAAGAUUUUCUCUGGAAUGAAGAAUCUUUGAAACUAUGGUCUAAGGAUGAGGCUGCGGUGGAUUAGGUAGUUGGCGGGGUAAAUGCCCACCAAGCCUUUGAUCCAUAAGGGCUCUUAGCGGAGAGGCCCUGAGAAGGAAUCUGAGACACUAUUCCUAGCCCUACGGGGUGCAGCAGUUAGGGAAAUUCUCCAAUGCGCGUAAGCGUGAGAGAGCAAGCCAGAGUGAUUUUCAUAUAAUUUGAAAAUCUUUUAUUUGUUGUAAAAAGACAGAAGAAUAAGGAGUGGGCAAGACUGGUGCCAGCCGCCGCGGUAAUCCCAGCGCUCCAAGUCGCAGCCACAAUUAUUGGGUCUAAAACAUUCGUAGCUUGUCGAGUAAGUUCUUUGUGAAAUUUUAACUCUUAAGGUUAAAGCGUGCAAAGAAUACUGCUUGGCUUGAGACCGGAAGAAGUAAGAAGUAUGCUUAAGGUAGUAGUAAAAUAUGUUAAUCUUAAGCAGACUAACAACAGCGAAGGCAUCUUACUAGUACGGAUCUGACAGUGAGGGAUGAAGGCUAGGGUCGCGAAACGGAUUAGAUACCCGUGUAGUCCUAGCAGUAAACACUGUUCACUGAACAUUGAGACCUCCUCGAGAGGUGUCAGUGCUGUAGAGAAGUCGAAGAGUGAACUACCUGGAA